rnacentral:rRNA from 1 species
UAAUACGGAGGAUCCAAGCGUUAUCCGGAUUUAUUGGGUUUAAAGGGUGCGUAGGCGGAUUGAUAAGUCAGUGGUGAAAGCCUGCAGCUUAACUGCAGAACUGCCAUUGAUACUGUCAGUCUUGAGUAUAUUUGAAGUGGGCGGAAUGUGCAGUGUAGCGGUGAAAUGCUUAGAUAUUGCACAGAACACCAAUUGCGAAGGCAGCUCACUAAACUAUAACUGACGCUGAGGCACGAAAGUAUGGGGAUCAAACAGGAUUAGAUACCCUGGUAGUCCAUACAGUAAACGUUGAUUACUCGAUGUGUGCGAUAAACUGUACGCGUCUAAGCGAAAGCAAUAAGUAAUCCACCUGGGGAGUACGCUCGCAAGAGUG